ACAUGGUGGGGUUAUAAAGUUGCUGGAAACAUGGCUAAGUUUCUAUUUUUUUCAAAGUUUCAGGAAAAAGUAGCGGCAAGAUUCCCUCUUUUUUUUUCGAAAUCACUCUUUUUAUUGCCACCUAUAUUUAGUUUUCCCCUAUUUUCCCUCCUCAUAUCUUAUUAUAUGCACUUCAUACCCCAAUCAAACCCAUGCCUAAGUAAAAUCUUCUAUAUUUUCAUCCUCUCUCUCUCUCUCUCUCUGUGUGUGUGUGUGCGCGCGCGUGUGUGUUUUCUCCAAAAAACAAUUUAUUGAUUUAAUACCAUAGAAGAUCAAAUCUAGGAUGAUAAACAUCUUAAGACAAGAGGUUAACUACUCAGAAUUUUAUAUCUCUUGGUCUGAAUUCUUGUGGUCGUAGCCAAAGAAGAAUUGGAGUAGAUAAAGAUGAAAAUUUAUUCAAGAGUGAAGUUAUUAGCACUAGCAUUUGGGGAAGCAACAUACUUUAUUCUUUUCUUAAAAUUUAUAUUCAUGUAUUUCAAUUGGACUUUGUGUUAGAUAAAUUUUACUUUAUUUAUGUGUUUUAAUUUAAGGAGUUUGU